rnacentral:ribozyme from 1 species
GCUGCUCAGAUAAUCACACGCCGCUACGAGGUGAGCAGUAGGCAACGAUCUUAUGAUCGGCGAAGAUGUGAUG